rnacentral:snoRNA from 1 species
AACCUCCUGGAUGCGUCUGGAGAGUGGCUAGUAUUCUGCCCAGCUUCGGAACGAGGGAAAGCAAGCCCUAGCAGGUACCCAUUCCAUUCCCCAGCUUGCACGGUAGCUGGUGUAUUGGAAGACCUCUCGCCAACAAAG